rnacentral:rRNA from 1 species
AUUGAACGCUGGCGGCAUGCUUUACACAUGCAAGUCGAACGGCAGCGCGGGGCAACCUGGCGGCGAGUGGCGAACGGGUGAGUAAUAUAUCGGAACGUACCCAGAAGUGGGGGAUAACGUAGCGAAAGUUACGCUAAUACCGCAUACGAUCUACGGAUGAAAGUGGGGGACCUUCGGGCCUCAUGCUUGUGGAGCGGCCGAUAUCUGAUUAGCUAGUUGGUAGGGUAAAGGCCUACCAAGGCGACGAUCAGUAGCUGGUCUGAGAGGACGACCAGCCCCACUGGGACUGAGACACGGCCCAGACUCCUACGGGAGGCAGCAGUGGGGAAUUUUGGACAAUGGGCGCAAGCCUGAUCCAGCAAUGCCGCGUGAGUGAAGAAGGCCUUCGGGUUGUAAAGCUCUUUUGUCAGGGAAGAAACGGGACUGGAUAAUACCUGGUCCUAAUGACGGUACCUGAAGAAUAAGCACCGGCUAACUACGUGCCAGCAGCCGCCGCCG